rnacentral:rRNA from 1 species
CACGGGGGGGGCAAGCGUUGUCCGGAAUCAUUGGGCGUAAAGAGCGCGUAGGCGGGAUGAUCAGUCCGAGGUGAAAACUUGAGGCUCAACCUCAAGCUUGCCUUGGAAACAGUCAUUCUUGAGUUCGGAAGAGGGAAGUGGAAUUCCUGGUGUAGCGGUGAAAUGCGUAGAUAUCAGGAAGAACACCGGUGGCGAAGGCGGCUUCCUGGUCCGAUACUGACGCUGAGGCGCGAAAGCGUGGGGAGCAAACAGGAUUAGAUACCCCCGUA